rnacentral:rRNA from 1 species
GGACUACUGGGGUAUCUAAUCCUGUUUGCUCCCCACGCUGUCGCGCCUCAGUGUCAGUCACUGCCCAGCUGGCCGCCUUCGCCACCGGUCUUCUGCCGGAUCUCUACGCAUUCCACCGCUACACCCGGCAUUCUACCAGCCUCUACAGUACUCAAGUCUCGCAGUAUUCGCGGCAGACCCGGGGUUGAGCCCCGGGCUUUCACCACAAACUUACCAGACCACCUACGCGCCCUUUACGCCCAGUGAUUCCGGACAACGCUCGCACCCCCCGUAUUACCGCGGCUGCUGGCAC